rnacentral:rRNA from 1 species
AACGAACGCUGGCGGCAGGCCUAACACAUGCAAGUCGAGCGCCCCGCAAGGGGAGCGGCGGACGGGUGAGUAACGCGUGGGAAUAUGCCCUUUGCUACGGAAUAGUCUCGGGAAACUGGGGGUAAUACCGUAUACGCCCUUUGGGGGAAAGAUUUAUCGGCGAAGGAUUAGCCCGCGUUGGAUUAGGUAGUUGGUGGGGUAAUGGCCUACCAAGCCGACGAUCCAUAGCUGGUUUGAGAGGAUGAUCAGCCACACUGGGACUGAGACACGGCCCAGACUCCUCGGGAGGGCCGCAGGGGGGAUCCUUAAACAAUGGGGGCAACCCUAAUCUGGCCGGGCCGGGUAGGUGAUGAAGGCCUUGGGGUUGUAAAGCCCUUUCAGCGGGGAAGAUAAUGCCGGUACCAGCAAAAGAAGCCCCGCCUACCUCCGU